AUUGAACGCUGGCGGCAUGCCUUACACAUGCAAGUCGAACGGUAACAGGUCUUUCGGGAUGCUGACGAGUGGCGAACGGGUGAGUAAUACAUCGGAACGUGCCUAGUAGUGGGGGAUAACUACUCGAAAGAGUGGCUAAUACCGCAUGAGAUCUAUGGAUGAAAGCAGGGGACCUUUGGGCCUUGUGCUACUAGAGCGGCCGAUGGCAGAUUAGGUAGUUGGUGGGAUAAAAGCUUACCAAGCCUACGAUCUGUAGCUGGUCUGAGAGGACGAUCAGCCACACUGGGACUGAGACACGGCCCAGACUCCUACGGGAGGCAGCAGUGGGGAAUUUUGGACAAUGGGCGCAAGCCUGAUCCAGCAAUGCCGCGUGCAGGAUGAAGGCCUUCGGGUUGUAAACUGCUUUUGUACGGAACGAAAAGUCUUGGGUUAAUACCCUGGGAUCAUGACGGUACCGUAAGAAUAAGCACCGGCUAACUACGU
rnacentral:rRNA from 1 species